rnacentral:pre_miRNA from 15 species
ACGAUCUCCGCCCAUUCAAUUCUUGCGUAACUCUUCAAGGGGUUGUGAAAUGUAGCCAUUAUCAAGUCAUAUCACAGCCAUUUUGAUGAGUUUCGUGUGAAUUGCUUUCAGCAUUGUCCCAU